CCUACGGGAGGCAGCAGUAGGGAAUAUUGCUCAAUGGGGGAAACCCUGAAGCAGCAACGUCGCGUGGAGGAUGAAGGUUUUAGGAUUGUAAACUUCUUUUGUGAGAGAAGUUAAUGACGGUAUCUCACGAAUAAGCACUGGCUAACUUCGUGCCAGCAGCCGCGGUAAUACGGAGGGUGCAAGCGUUACUCGGAAUCACUGGGCGUAAAGAGUGCGCAGGCGGGCUUGUAAGUCAGAUGUGAAAUCCUGUAGCUUAACUACAGAACUGCAUUUGAAACUAUGAGUCUAGAGUGUGGGAGAGGUAGGUGGAAUGCUUGGUGUAGGGGUAAAAUGCGUAGAUAUCAAGAGGAAUACUCAUUGCGAAGGCGACCUACUGGAACAUUACUGACGCUCAUGCACGAAAGCGUGGGGAGCAAACAGGAUUAGAUACCCCAGUAGUC
rnacentral:rRNA from 1 species